rnacentral:rRNA from 1 species
CCUGGCUCCGUAGGGGCUGGCGGCGCGCCUAACACAUGCAAGUCGAACGGAGCUGAGAGGAGCUUGCUUUUCUCAGCUUAGUGGCGAACGGGUGAGUAACGCGUGAGUAACCUGCCCUGGAGUGGGGGACAACAGUUGGAAACGACUGCUAAUACCGCAUAAGCCCACGAUCCGGCAUCGGAUUGAGGGAAAAGGAUUUAUUCGCUUCAGGAUGGACUCGCGUCCAAUUAGCUAGUUGGUGAGGUAACGGCCCACCAAGGCGACGAUUGGUAGCCGGACUGAGAGGUUGAACGGCCACAUUGGGACUGAGACACGGCCCAGACUCCUACGGGAGGCAGCAGUGGGGGAUAUUGCACAAUGGGGGAAACCCUGAUGCAGCGACGCCGCGUGGAGGAAGAAGGUUUUCGGAUUGUAAACUCCUGUCGUUAGGGACGAUAAUGACGGUACCUAACAAGAAAGCACCGGCUAACUACGUGCCAGCAGCCGCGGUAAAACGUAGGGUGCAAGCGUUGUCCGGAAUUACUGGGUGUAAAGGGAGCGCAGGCGGACCGGCAAGUUGGAAGUGAAAACUAUGGGCUCAACCCAUAAAUUGCUUUCAAAACUGCUGGCCUUGAGUAGUGCAGAGGUAGGUGGAAUUCCCGGUGUAGCGGUGGAAUGCGUAGAUAUGGGGAGGAACACCAGUGGCGAAGGCGACCUACUGGGCACCAACUGACGCUGAGGCUCGAAAGCAUGGGUAGCAAACAGGAUUAGAUACCCUGGUAGUCCAUGCCGUAAACGAUGAUUACUAGGUGUUGGAGGAUUGACCCCCUCAGUGCCGCAGUUUACACAAUAAGUAAUCCACCUGGGGAGUACGACCGCAAGGUUGAAACUCAAAGGAAUUGACGGGGGCCCGCACAAGCAGUGGAGUAUGUGGUUUAAUUCGAAGCAACGCGAAGAACCUUACCAGGUCUUGACAUCCGAUGCAUAGUGCAGAGAUGCAUGAAUCCUUCGGGACAUCGAGACAGGUGGUGCAUGGUUGUCGUCAGCUCGUGUCGUGAGAUGUUGGGUUAAGUCCCGCAACGAGCGCAACCCUUAUUGCCAGUUACUACGAAAGAGGACUCUGGCGAGACUGCCGUUGACAAAACGGAGGAAGGUGGGGAUGACGUCAAAUCAUCAUGCCCUUUAUGACCUGGGCUACACACGUACUACAAUGGCGUUUAACAAAGAGAAGCAAGACCGCGAGGUGGAGCAAAACUCAAAAACAACGUCUCAGUUCAGAUUGCAGGCUGCAACUCGCCUGCAUGAAGUCGGAAUUGCUAGUAAUCGCGGAUCAGCAUGCCGCGGUGAAUACGUUCCCGGGCCUUGUACACACCG